rnacentral:rRNA from 1 species
UACGUAGGGGGCAAGCGUUGUCCGGAUUUAUUGGGCGUAAAGCGCUCGCAGGUGGUCCGUUGCGUCGUGCGUGAAAGACCCCGGCUCAACUGGGGAGUGUCGUGCGAUACGGGCGGACUGGAGGCCAGUAGGGGGAUGCGGAAUUCCGGGUGUAGUGGUGGAAUGCGUAGAGAUCGGAGGAACACCGAGCGGCGAAGGCGGCAUCCUGGACC